UACGGGAGGCAGCAGUGGGGAAUAUUGGGCAAUGGGCGAAAGCCUGAACCAGCCAAGUAGCGUGCAGGAUGACGGCCCUAUGGGUUGUAAACUGCUUUUAUACAGGGAUAAAGUGCGCCACGUGUGGCGUUUUGUAGGUACUGUAUGAAUAAGGACCGGCUAAUUCCGUGCCAGCAGCCGCGGUAAU
rnacentral:rRNA from 1 species